rnacentral:tRNA from 1 species
UCUAAGGAUGUUUCUAGCAACUUAAGCUUGCUUUUGUUCGUGAAACACUUAGCAGAUUGGCAAACAAAGCCGAUCGUAUAUCGAACCGGACUGUCCUCAUAUCUCUUCACUAUACAUCAGACCUACCGGUCUGUACUGGGUCGGUAGCUCAGGUGGUUAGAGCGCACGCCUGAUAAGCGUGAGGUCGGAGGUUCAAGUCCUCCUCGACCCACCAUUAACGCGUCUAUUUUAAGAUAUGGCGUGUAGGGGGCCUUAGCUCAAAUGGGAGAGCGCCUGAUUUGCAUUCAGGAGGUCAGCGGUCAUCCGCUAGGCUCCACCAUAUAACAACUUUUGAUCAGAUCGCGAAGCACAAUGGUUUGUGUUUCGCCGUCCGAUUGGACGCAUUGACAUCGUUUAGAGAGAUACAAAUAUCAACAUUGUUUGAUCGCCCGAAGUAGCGGGAUGAUCUCAAUUUGGUGAAGCAAGUUUAGGCUUGUGGAGAGCUUUUGGAUCCACCCUUUUCCUCGGGUGCCCUUAAGUAUGCUGGGUUGAAACGAACAUGUUGUCCAAGUCAAGUACACUAACCCGAGCAGCAGUAAUGUUGCUCAACAGUUCAAACACACCGACAUGUGUUUGAGCGGGAAAGUAUGACUUUUGACCGGAAGAUGAGAUGCCUGGUGAACCAGCUUGGCAUCAUUCAGACGCAAGUCUGACUUUUUCU